rnacentral:misc_RNA from 1 species
GAUGAAGAACGUAGCGAAAUGCGAUAAGUAAUGUGAAUUGCAGAAUUCAGUGAAUCAUCGAAUCUUUGAACGCACAUUGCGCCCGUCAGUAUUCUGGCGGGCAUGCCUGUUCGAGCGUCAUUACGCCCCUCAAGUCCCCUGUGGACUUGGUGUUGGGGAUCGGCGAGGCUGGUUUUCCAGCACAGCCGUCCCUUAAAUUAAUUGGCGGUCUCGCCGUGGCCCUCCUCUGCGCAGUAGUAAAACACUCGCAACAGGAGCCCGGCGCGGUCCACUGCCGUAAAACCCUCCAACUUUUUAUAGUUGACCUCGAAUCAGGUAGGACUACCCGCUGAACUUAAGCAUAUCAAUAAGCGGAGGA